rnacentral:rRNA from 1 species
UACGUAGGGUGCAAGCGUUGUCCGGAAUUAUUGGGCGUAAAGAGCUCGUAGGCGGUUUGUCGCGUCUGCUGUGAAAACCUAAGGCUCAACCUUGGGCUGCAGUGGGUACGGGCAGACUAGAGUGCGGUAGGGGGUGACUGGAAUUCCUGGUGUAGCGGUGGAAUGCGCAGAUAUCAGGAGGAACACCGGUGGGCGAAGGCGGGUCUCUGGGCAGUAACUGACGCUGGAGGAGCGAAAGCGUGGGGAGCGAACAGG